GAAUCACAGAAAUACCCGGAGAUGAGAGACCUAAGACAUUGAGGAAAGGGAAGGGAAGCAGGAAUUAUAUGGAACCCAAGUGGCAAUAAAAGGGCAAAGAAAGAAUGGAGAGGAAGAGAAGAGUGAGGGGAUGGAUAGGGAUUUUUAUUUUAAUUUUUUUAAAGGAUUAAGUGGUUGAGAAGAAAAACUGGGCAGGAGAACACAGGAGAUUAGUAAGCAAGAGCAAAGUAUAAAGGCUUCAAGAGUAAUCCAGCAAAGUGAAUUUAGGAAAGAGGAAAUAACUGUAGGGGAGAAGAGAUUUUGGAGACAGAGGGUGCUGAGAGAAUUGGAUGUUUUGGAGCACUGCAGAGCUGUGGAAAAUGGGAAACUUCCUACCCAAAGGAUGGAAAUCCGAAACUCACCCUAGAGAUACACUAAGAGCUGUUGGAAGCACUAUCUGGCUAACCCAAGUCAGGCUACAAAUAAUUUUCUCUGGGAUUGCUGAGCAAGAAAGGACUGAAGCAUGAACAGUGUGGAGUGAGACGGGCGAUGUUGAAGAGGUUACUGAGCGGGUGAUGGAGAAUUCAAAUAUGCGCCUGUGCUGAAAGAGUGGAAGCAAUGGAUCAGACUGUAGCCCGGCAAAACAAAGUGCUGUAUUUACUACAUUUCUGAAAGUAAGGUGCUUCUGAUUUGACAGCAGAUGCUGCAGGGAUGUAGAGCUUAAGGAAUUUUUAUGUUUUGCCAAAAUAUGAGGGGAACUCAGAGAGGACAUCAGAACUGGGAUGCCACUGUUUUCUUUCUUCAGUAAUGCCUUGCUUCACAUGCAUCCUUUGUAUGAUAUGCUGUUUCUAAACAGUAAAAACACUAAAAAUAAAAAGUCAGCAAGGUGGAUUGGCUGAUCAGGUGCAUUUAUCUUUGGAAGAGAUGGUCCUGGUCAUUAAGCUUCUGUUCUUCACCUGCCUGUGGCCGACAGCAGUGCUACACAGCUCUCAAAGUCAACAUCACCAUCUUCACCAUCGGCAACAAUUCUCAUUCUUAAGAAAGCAUAACAGGUAGUGAACUUCUGCAUGGAAUCUGGAAUGUGGUGCAGUACAUUCUGUGAAGGGAAGAGAGUAGCAGCAGUCCCUAGGAAGAAUUGCAGAAUUCAUGGCAACCUGCUGAGAGCAUCUGAACAGGUUCAUCUGUGUUGCCAGAGGCUCAGUUAUGUGCAACGUGACAUAAACCACAAAGACAGUACUUCUAUGAUGCAAAUGAAUACUGUGUAUCUGAACAGCAAACAGAGGAUGAGAUAAUGAGUGAAAAAACAAGCAGGAAAUUACAUGUUAGCAUGUAAUGUGGUCACAACAGAUGGAUGUUUGAGAAGAUCUCAAAAAGCAACUUCCUGGAUCCAGGACUAUCAGAGUUCUUCAGGGAAAUUAUUGACUUAUUUGAACUUUUAAGGGGAAAAACAAACAAAAAACAAUUAGAAAAAACAUUUAUAAUAAAAAUAUAAUUGUCUUUGUAAUAUAGAUAAUAUGAAGUAGUUUAAAACCAUGGAUAUACGGUGUUAUUUCCAAGUCUUUGUUGAAAGUGGUAAUGUGGACAGUGCCAUUUUUUUCAGUUGGCUAUCAUCUCUUGCACAGUGAUAGGUUCAGUCUCUGAGGGAACUUCUUGUAUGCAAUAAAUGUUGUAAUAGGUAUUCC
rnacentral:lncRNA from 7 species